UUUUUUUUUUUUUUUUUAAGAGCAGAAUAAAGGCUUUCUCGUGUCGGCCACACAGCCCCUCCAGCUCGAAUAAUGGAGAGAUUGUCGCUCACUCCGCGAGCCGCGGCCCUUUGUACGCAGCUGAUGGCGAAGAGGCGACCGGGGGUGGCAGGGCUCCUGGCCCUGGCCCCUGUGCCCGAGUACACAGGCUCAAGUCUCCUGGGCAGGGAGCGGGUGAAAGGAACAUGGUUAAAAUACGGGGAGGGAGGGCGGUGGGAGGGAAGGAGGAAAAAGAAAAAGGAUGAAUUUGUACACAAAUUCUACAUUUUACUCCCCUUGCAGUCAGAAGCAGGGCAGUGGAGAGACCAGGCAGCAAGCAGACUGCUGGAGAUGGAAAAGGAAAGGCUGAGAGAGAGAGAGAGAGAGAGAGGCGCGCAGAGAGGGUGGGCAGAAAGCGCGAGCGCGCGCGGGAACCGGGGCCCCUGCUGGACGCCGGGUGCGCCCGCCCAGCCGCCUCGGACCCCGGACCUUGCGUCGUGGACACCAGAAGCGAGACUCGCCAAAGUCCGGCCCCAGAAGGGCUCCAGGGUCUUGAAACUGCGUUGUGACAGCAGCGCCUCACGUCCUCGGGACUGACUGCAGGGAGCAGGGGUGGAGAGACACAUCUGGCUGAUGGCCGCGGAGGUCCCAAGUGCGCCUCCUUUAUCCUCAGCUCCACGUUUCGGUCCCAGAUUCUCCAGCUGCACACCUAGCAUCCCCGCAGCAGUGCGCCUAUAUCCACCAGAAGUUCCGGGUUCUGGGACCCCGCUCCUAAGGAGGCUGGAGUGGCAGGAAGAGGAAGUCAGGUGUGUCGGAGGAGGGCUGCGGACCAGGCUCCCUAGUUUGCCUUUCCUCCCCAUAGGUCCUCCUCUGGCCUCCUGCUAGGAGCGAGACCUCGAGGGCACUCCAAGUCUCUGCGCAAAAACGCAGGGCUCGCUCUUGGCUUGGCGUCCUCCCUAGCAACCCUGUGGGGACACUUCCCACUGAUGUGCACAGAGCUCGAGGUCGGGGCUGGGGCAGGGCCCCGCCGCUCCUCCUCCUGACGCCUCUAGCACCAGGAGCACCAGCGCAGCGUCAGGCGGCGACCUCUCUAACAGUCCUGUUGCCCCUUGCGGGCAGCCCGGUGCCACGCUGUUCCAGCAGUCUCUCGAAGCCGAGGGUCGGCCCUGCUGGCCUCGCUCCUCCGCGGGAGAUAACAACAUAUGCCUGAAAG
rnacentral:lncRNA from 1 species